rnacentral:rRNA from 1 species
UGCGUAGGUGGUUGAUUAAGUCUUUGGUGUAAGUGCAGUGCUUAACGCUGUGAUGCUAAAGAAACUGGUUAACUUGAGUGUGGUAGAGGCAAGUGGAAUUCCAUGUGUAGCGGUAAAAUGCGUAAAUAUAUGGAGGAACACCAGUGGCGAAGGCGGCUUGCUGGGCCACAACUGACACUGAGGCACGAAAGCGUGGGGAGCAAACAG